UACAGAGGUUUCGAGCGUUAGGCGGAAUCACUGGGCUUAAAGCGUGUGUAGGUGGAUCGUUAAGUACCUUGUGAAAUCCCACGGCUUAACCGUGGAACUGCUUGGUAUACUGGCGGUCUUGAGCCACUUAGGGGCUACCGGAACAAAUGGUGGAGCGGUGAAAUGCGUAGAUAUCAUUUGGAACGCCAAUGGUGAAAACAGGUAGCUGGGAGUGUGCUGACACUGAGACACGAAAGCCAGGGGAGCAAACGGG
rnacentral:rRNA from 1 species